rnacentral:rRNA from 1 species
GGAGUUUGGUCCGUGUCUCAGUACCAAUGUGGGGGACCUUCCUCUCAGAACCCCUACUGAUCGUCGGCUAGGUGGGCCGUUACCCCGCCUACUGCCUAAUCAGACGCAUCCCCAUCCCAUAGCGAUAAAUCUUUGGCAUUGCUCAGAUGUCCUCAUAAUACAACAUAGGGCAUUAAUCCGACUUUCGCCAGGCUAUUCCCUACUAUGGGAAGGUUGGAUACGCGUUACUCACCCGUGCGCCGGUCGCCAUCAAGGAAGCAAGCUUCCUUCAUGCUGCCCCACGACUUGCAUGUGUUAAGCCUGUAGCUAGCGUUCAUC